GGCUUGCUCUUAUCGAAAGUGGCGCACGGGUGCGUAACGCGUAUGCAACCUACCUUAAUCAGGGGGAUAGCCCGGAGAAAUCCGGAUUAAUACCGCAUAAAAUCACAGGAUUGCAUAAUCCAAUGAUCAAACAUUUAUGGGAUUGAGAUGGGCAUGCGUGUCAUUAGCUAGUUGGCGGGGUAACGGCCCACCAAGGCGACGAUGACUAGGGGAUCUGAGAGGAUGGCCCCCCACACUGGUACUGAGACACGGACCAGACUCCUACGGGAGGCAGCAGUAAGGAAUAUUGGUCAAUGGAGGCAACUCUGAACCAGCCAUGCCGCGUGCAGGAAGACUGCCCUAUGGGUUGUAAACUGCUUUUAUCCGGGAAUAAACCUUUCUACGUGUAGGAAGCUGAAUGUACCGGAAGAAUAAGGAUCGGCUAACUCCGUGCCAGCAGCCGCGGUAAU
rnacentral:rRNA from 1 species